GAUUUCCUCUCGCUUCCGAAGUCCUGGUUAACGAUGUUUAUAUCGAUGACAUUAUUACAGGUUGCUCUUCGAUUGCUGAAGCUCAUAAUUUGCGGGAUGAACUAAUUAACUUGCUCAGUACUGCAGGUUUCGAAUUAAGAAAGUGGUCUAGCAAUGACCCUACCGUUUUAAAUAAAAUUCUUCUUUCACAUCAAUUAGAUCAAGCUCUUGCGUUCAAUAGUGAAUCAGACUUUUUCGUUAAAGUUUUGGGACUGCAAUGAAACCCGCGUAACGAUAGUUUUUCUUAUAGUAUUCAACCGUUCAAUCGUCCGUGCUCAAAACGAUCGCUUUUGUCUGAAUUGGCUCGCAUAUUCGACCCUAUUGGGUUUUUGGCUCCUUUAACUUUUUACGCAAAACGUUUGAUUCAGUAUCUAUGGACGUUGAAGUUGUCUUGGGAUGACUCGCCUCCUGACGACAUUAUUUCGAGUUGGACGCAAUUUUGUUCGGAACUUCCCCAAUUAGCGACUUUGCAAAUUCCCAGAAAAAUUAUCGUAGAAAAAGUUCGGCGACGCUAGUGAGUCUGGUUACGCCGCAGUGGUCUAUUUGCGAAGCGUCUCAGUUACCCAUGCAAUAGAAAUUCGUCUCAUUUGUGCAAAGUCAAAGGUAGCGCCGUUGAAGAAAAUUUCCAUUCCGCGUCUAGAGUUAUGUGCGGCAGUUUUAUUGGCCAAGUUAAUAGAUUACACCCUUACCACGUUUAAAGGUGUCAUAGAGAUUGACCAAGUUUACGCGUGGUCCGACUCUACCAUAGCCCUUUCGUGGAUUCAAUCGUCUCCUCACCUUUGGAAGGUAUUUGUUAGCAAUAGGGUUGCUCUCAUUCAAUCGUUAGCACCCACUGCUACUUGGCAUCACGUUUCGUCGGAUGACAACCCCGCCGAUUGCGCGUCUCGUGGUUUAAGUCCAAUGCAUCUCCUGCAGCACCCGCUAUGGUGGGCGGGGCCCACUUGGUUACGCAAUUUUGAUUUGGUCGUAGGUAAAUCGUAGAUACCAGAUUUGGAAAAUGACUCGAUAAUGGUAGAAGAACAACGCAAGGUUGUCUUAAUUCUUCAAACAGAAGAAAGUUUUUUUGAUCGCAUAUUGAGUACCUUCUCUUCUCUUCGAAAAAUAUUACGCAUUAUCGCAGUGUGGCUACGGUUUGUCAAAAAUCUUAAAACUAAAACUCGAAAUUUUGAGGCCUUAAGUGAGGAUGAAAUAAACUACGCAUUGACCCUGCUCGUUAAACAUGUCCAACAACAAGUAUUCGCCUCGGAAGUUAAAAAUCUGGAAUCUUGUUCCAAACCCUUCAGAAAAUUGGCGCCCUUUGUAGAUCCUCAAGGGAUUUUACGUGUAGGUGGUCGCCUCAAACACUCUGGUCUUUCUUUCGAUGCUAAACAUCCGAUGUUACUUCCUCGUGGACAUCGUUUAACCGAGCUAAUUGUUGAGGAUAUGCACAUUCGGUAUUUUCACCCCGGCACUCAAACCCUCCAUUUCCUAUUGUCUCAGAGAUUUUGGAUAUUGGAGGCUAAAAAACUUAUUUCGAAAAUAAUUUCUCGUUGUUUACGCUGUUGGCGUUUGAACCCUCGUUCUCCUCAACCUCCAAUGGGAGAUUUACCGUCGCUGCGUAUUUCUCAAAUCAAGCCUUUUUCGUGUGUUGGAGUGGAUUAUGGUGGUCCUUUUAAGAUCACUUUAGGUAGAACUCGAGGCUCAAAGUCGCAGAAGGCCUAUAUUUGUGUAUUUCUAUGCUUUAGUACUAAAGCUAUUCAUAUCGAAUUAGUGUCGGAUUUAUCCACAGAAGCGUUUUUGGCCGCUUUACGGCGAUUCGUGGCUCGUCGAGGACGUUGUUCUUAUAUUUAUUCAGAUUGCGGUACUAAUUUCGUUGGUGCCUAUCGCGAGCUUAAUCGUCAUAUGAAAUCAGCCGCAGAACGUGAACGUCUUCGGUGGCAUUUUAACCCCCCAUCAGCCCCUCACUUUGGAGGGAUUUGGGAGGCCGGCAUUAAGUCGGUUAAAACCCAUUUACAUCGUCUUAUAGGAGAGCAAAUCCUCACAUUCGAAGAAUUGUAUACGGUUCUAACUCAAAUUGAGUCAGUACUUAAUUCGCGUCCUCUUUGCCCGGUUAGCGCUGAUCCUAACGACCUCUCAGUUUUAACCCCUGGCCAUUUCUUGACGUUAGAACCUCUUAGCGCACCUCCUGAUUUAGACUUAUCGUCAUUGAAAAUAAAUCAAUUAACGCGCUGACAAUUAGUCCAACGUUUGCACCAAGAUUUCUGGUCACGAUGGCAUCAGGAAUAUUUACACACUCUUCAGCAACGAAGUAAGUGGAAUACUUCUUCAAAACCAAUCGUUCCUGAUACUUUAGUGAUUGUUAAAAAUGAAUGCCUAUCUCUUUAAGAUGGCAGUUAGGAAGAAUCGUCGCGGUGCAUCCUGGUGCAGAUGGGGUCGUCAGAGUUGCCACAGUACGUACCUCCCAGGGUACGUUCAAGCGCCCAGUGGUAAAGCUUUGCCCUUUACCUGUUCCUACGGUUUCGUAAAACGCGGAGCCUUUUAGGUGGGCGGUAUGUUAGAAUUUAGUUUAAUUUAUUUUUUGGGCUCAGAGAAUUUUUGUUUGUUUUAUUUUGAAUUUCUCCCGCGGUCAUGCGCGAUUCGCAAAGGGUGGUUUUUUAGUUUUAAGUAGUGGCGCGCGCGUGACCUUGAAGAGGUGUUGAGUUCUUAGUUUUUAAAAAGAGUAGUUCGUUCCGCUUCGUGGGUUCUCUCCAAAAGUACAAGCCGGCCGGCGAAGAAUUUUCCAAAGACGCCAAAAGGUAGGAACCACCCCAAGCUCGCCGCUCUCAUUUUUUUUCUCUCUUGUAAUUGAACUGCCCAUACGAAUUUAGUCGCUUACAAUUUAUUUAAUAAAUAAAUUACUUUAUCUACGAUCAUCAAAUAAUAUAACCAUUACUGAUGUGAAAGUUCCACUGUAAAUUUUCAUUUUAUCCAUCGACAAAUUAAAAGAAGUCUCUGAUUGGUUUUCACCCAUGGGUAAAAUUGACAGAAUUUUUUAUCCAUUGGGAUUGGGACCAAUCAAAAUUGAAAAUAUUGGAAUUUUAUCUUUUCCACCACUUUUAUGUUGGCAAUUGUGUGCCGUAACCGCAGCAAUAUAACCAAACAAGCCAAAUCAGCUGACAACAAAAACAAACAGCUAAUUAUUUAGUCGGAACUAGUAGUGAAAUCUGUGAUUGUUCAAGCAGUUUUUUGUGACAGAAAGUUAUUUAAAAUGUUGGAAGAAGAGAAUGAAAUGACCUGCACGCCACCUGACAUUCGCAAUAUCGCAACGAGUGCAAUAGAAAAUCUUCUACCACAAAAAUCGCGGCACAAAUAUGAGUGUGUUUAUGAAAGGUUUUUAAAAUGGCGCGCAGAAAAAAAUACAACUUCUUUUUCUGAAAAUAUUAUAUUAAGUUAUUUUGUGAUGCUUGCAGAAAAGUAUUCAUCUUCUUCUCUUUGGAGUUACUACUCAAUGCUUAAAAGUACGUUAGUCAUUCGUCACGAUAUACAUAUUGAGAACUAUAAAAAACUUCAAGCAUUUUUGAAGCGCAAAUCUGGGACAUACAAACCUAAAAAAUCGAAAACUUUAUCUUCUGAAAAUAUAAAGGAGUUUAUCGAGAAAGCACCAGAUGAAAAAUAUCUUGUAACGAAGGUGGCUGUAAUAAUGGGUAUAAUGGGUGCCUGCAGAUCUCAAGAAUUGCAUGCAAUGAAACUAGAGCACAUCGAAGAUUUAGAUCGAGCUUUGCUUGUCAAAAUUCCCGAUACCAAAACAAAAGUUUCUAGGAGUUUUACAGUAACGGGAGAAUAUUACUAUAUUUGCAAAAAAUAUAUGAAUCUUCGUCCAACCAAUAUACAAUGUUCAUAUUUUUUCUUGAAUUUUCAAAAUAAUAAGUGUACAUUGCAAAAAAUAGGUAUUAACAAGCUAGCUGCCAUGCCGAAGAGUGUUGCUACUUUUUUGAAUCUUCAAAAUCCUCAGUUAUAUACAGGUCAUUGCCUACGGAGAUCAUCUGCCACACUUUUGGUUGAUGGAGGUGCUGAUAUUACCACCCUCAAGCGACAUGGGGCAUGGCGGUCAACAAGCGUGGCUGAGGGGUACAUAGAUAACAACUUAAACAAUAAACUUCAAAUAGGUAAUACAAUUUUAAGAGAAGUUAACAGACCGUGUACAAGCACAUCUGUAAGUAAUGUUCAAUGUACUACUACAAAAGUUGACAGUACCACAGCUGUAACCAAGAAUAAUUGCGAAAUUAAUCUUGGCAAGGAUCCUCCUUUUACUUUCAAUAAUUGUUCUAACUUUACCAUUAACAUUUAUAAUAAAAAUAACAAUGUAACUAACUAAUAUAUUCAUAUCCAAAAGUAUUAAAAUUAACCAACUAAAAAUGUAUUUUUCUUUUUGGUUAUUUAAUCGUAGAUAAAAUUAUAGUUUAAUGUUCAAAAGAAUUAAAAUUGAUCAACUAAGAAUUUA